UACGUAGGGCGCAAGCGUUGUCCGGAAUUACUGGGCGUAAAGAGCUCGUAGGUGGUUUGUCGCGUUGUUCGUGAAAACUCACAGCUCAACCUGUGGGCGUGCGGGCGAUACGGGCAGACUUGAGUACUGCAGGGGAGACUGGAAUUCCUGGUGUAGCGGUGGAAUGCGCAGAUAUCAGGAGGAACACCGGUGGCGAAGGCG
rnacentral:rRNA from 1 species